rnacentral:piRNA from 1 species
UUGAAUGGGAGAACCUUGGGGAGAAGC